GAAUAUUGCACAAUGGGGGAAACCCUGAUGCAGCGACGCGGCGUGCGGGAUGACGGCCUUCGGGUUGUAAACUGCUUUCAGCAGGGAAGAAGCGCAAGUGACGGUACCUGCAGAAGAAGUACCGGCUAACUACGUGCCAGCAGCCGCGGUAAUACGUAGGGUACGAGCGUUGUCCGGAAUUAUUGGGCGUAAAGAGCUCGUAGGGGGUUGGUCACGUCUGCUGUGGAAACGCAACGCUUAACGUUGCGCGUGCAGUGGGUACGGGCUGACUAGAGUGCGGUAGGGGAGUCUGGAAUUCCUGGUGUAGCGGUGAAAUGCGCAGAUAUCAGGAGGAACACCGGUGGCGAAGGCGGGACUCUGGGCUGUAACUGACACUGAGGAGCGAAAGCAUGGGGAGCGAACA
rnacentral:rRNA from 1 species